rnacentral:lncRNA from 1 species
CAGCCGUGCUGUGUGUUCUCACUUGGCAAGCGGACCCUUAAAUCUGACAUGACAGAUGACAUUUUCCAUUUUCAUACUUCUGAGCUCUGCUCCAUCUUUGCUGAACCUUCACUGAUGUCCUGAACGUGGGCUUGUCAAAGGUCUUUGUGACAGCACUGUGCUUGUGCCACUGAGCUCUGCAACCUGUAGGCUGGUCAGGAACAGCCACAUGUAGCUGUGGUUACCUGAGGAGUGAGUCUGUGUAGCACUGGCACGGAAUUAGAAGAGCAAGCACCUAUUUUGUGGUUGGAGCAUUCAAGAGGAGAUACCAGAAGGGGUGUGUGUGACAAGACAGAGACGUAAAGUGCUGCUAAGUGCUGCCUGCGUGCCUGAAAUUAUCUCAGUAACACAUUCCACUAUAAAGUGCUGAUGGCAGAGGAGCGGGGUUAUGUAUAGCCAGCUGGUGGGGAGUGGCAGGGCUUGUUUUACAUACACAGAGGAAAGCACUGGGGGUGUUUCUGGUUUCAAGAACUCGAAGGAAUGUGAAAAGGAACUGAUCAGUUGGGUAUUAAUGAUUAAGGAUGGGCCAGUUUGUUGUUCUGAGGCAGCUGAUGUGCCUUAGCAGCCAGAGGCAGUGGUUACAUGUUCUCGAACACAGAACUAAGCUGGAGGGAUCAAAGUCAGUCCUGCUCUCAGCUCGUUCCUCCAGCCUCACUCCUCUCUUUCACCAGUGAAGGCCCUGCUUGCUUCCUCCUGUGAGGGAAGCCCACAAGGAAAGGCAGGGAGGCCUCCUGAAUGCUGCUCUGCACAGAUGUGCGCUUUAACAGGAAGAAGCGAAUGCCCACAGGAGCUGAACUGAUGAGAACCCACAGCAGAUGGCUGUCUUUGAUGGCAGCAGCCCACCUCUGAGCCAACACACCUGCUCUCAGGUCCUAGAGGGGCGUGACUUGAGGCAGCGGGGAUGCACAUUCCAUGUCCAUGCUGUCUGUUCUUGCACCAUGUAACAAGGAGGAAAAGAGACGGAGACAUCCUCUACCAUUGCUUCUCAGCAUCCAGAAGGGACCGUGAUUCAGCCAUGAUUCAGAAGGAAAUGUGUCACAUGGUGAGUCAUCAGCAUCGCUACCUCCAGCACCUCUGGUCUCCCAGCUGAGAGCUGACAGUCACCUCUGAGAAAGUGA